UGUCUCGCGCGGGAGCACUCCCGGCCGCUGGGGAAUUUCUGAGGAGGAAUGGGAAUUUGGGGGCCGGGCCGCCGACAGGGACCGACGGAGCCGCGCCGGUCCGAGCCGCGCGGAGCCGAGUCUUCACAGGUCCUCGUUGCUAUUAAUAGAUCAUCAAUGUACCGCAAGAGCGUACCUUCCCUUCCCCACGCGGCGGCAUCCAGGCUUCCAGUUCCUCGGCUAAUCGAUCUCCAAAUAUCACGGGUCUAUUUUUGAAUCCUUGUGGCAAUACAGUCCAUGACUAAUUUUGGGAGGCCCAGUCUUCCUCGGGACUUUCAACCCACCCUCAGGGACUCGAACCCCGGACCUGCAGGUAUUUCUGUGUUUAAAAGGAAUAACAAAUCCCUUAAUUUGGUGCAGAUGGUCCUUGUCUGCCCCCGCCAUCAGCCGAAGGACAGCUGAGCUCCCCUUGAAAAUUCAGGGUCGCGACCGGGAGGUCCGCUUAGCCCCGGAUCCGGCAGCCCGGCAGAGAGGGUCCCGUCUCGG